AGAAGAGGAUCUAUGACUUCUGGAAUCACCUCUUUUAGUAGCUUAGAUGAAACAGGGUCUAACAUACGUGUUGUUGGUUUAGAUGAUUUAACAAGUUUAUGCAAUUCUUCCUUUCCUAUAGAAGAGAAUGAAUGGAAUUGUUCUUCAG